UUUAAACCUAAUGGCUUAUUAAAAAACAGAAAUCGCAAGAGAAACUCGAUGUGUACCGACAACUACAUUAUUUAACCAUAUUUACUGCGUUAGGAUGUUGAUAUAGCAACUGUUCAAGCGUUAAAGGGAGCAGGCUAAGGUCUGAAAUCUGGAGUUUCAACUUCUCUCCAGGAUGCCUGUUUGAUGGGGAAAAGGAAGCCUGAAGAUAAGAGCAGAGUUCUUACACCAGAGCCGCUGCCCGCUGUUUGACUCUGAGACUGAAGCUUUGAAAGGAGAACUGAGGAACACAGGGACACAGGAACUGUUAGUCCUAACUAUUUGGACUAACAGCCUAAAGAGUUGAUAGAUGAGACCCAGAGUUAAACAGGAAGUUGUUUCCAGACCUGCUGUAAUGGUGCGAGUGAUUAUACAAGACAUGCCGUGUGAACCUUCAGCAGAUGUGGAAUUUCUGGAAGUGCGACCCCAUACAUUCCGUCAAUAUGGAAUUAUUCAUUCAUUGGCUGCGUAUUCGUCUGGUGUUUUAGGUUAUCAGGUGUUUUUUUGCUGCUUGUUACUGUAAAAGCCUGUCAAAAGUCGAAAAUAAAGUUUCAGGUUGUCUCCAGCAUGUCCUUAUCAGAAUGGCACGGAAGUAUGAUUCAGGAUGACACACGUGAAUGAAUGAAGUGUACCAACUUCUCGGGGUAAAUCAAGUGUAGCCUGAAGACUGUGUGUCAAAACAGAGGGGUUAAACUCACAGC